rnacentral:rRNA from 1 species
CAACAGCCGCGGGAAUACGGAGGGGGCUAGCGUUGUUCGGAAUUACUGGGCGUAAAGCGCACGUAGGCGGCUUUGUAAGUUAGAGGUGAAAGCCCGGAGCUCAACUCCGGAAUUGCCUUUAAGACUGCAGAGCUAGCAGGUGAGAGAGGUGAGUGGAAUUCCGAGUGUAGAGGUGAAAUUCGUAGAUAUUCGGAAGAACACCAGUGGCGAAGGCGGCUCACUGGCUCAUACUGGACGCUGAGGUGCGAAAGCGUGGGGAGCAAACAGGAUUAGAUACCCCCGUAGUCCCUGUCUCUUAUAC